GAGCGGUGUACCUAAAGUCGGUAACGCAGAGCCGCCUAGGUAAAACGUAGGUGACUGGGGCU
rnacentral:rRNA from 1 species